rnacentral:rRNA from 1 species
AUGGAUCACCAGUGAGUGGCGGACGGGUGAGUAACACGUAGGUAACCUGCCCCGGAGCGGGGGAUAACAUUUGGAAACAGAUGCUAAUACCGCAUAACAACAAAAGCCACAUGGUUUUUGUUUAAAAGAUGGCUUUGGCUAUCACUCUGGGAUGGACCUGCGGUGCAUUAGCUAGUUGGUAAGGUAACGGCUUACCAAGGCGAUGAUGCAUAGCCGAGUUGAGAGACUG